rfam:Nicotiana attenuata strain TT chromosome 7, whole genome shotgun sequence.
AUGUCAUGGUGAGGACACUUCACCAACAUACCCUUAAACCUCUCCCAGGUCUCUUGCAAAGUCUCAGCCAGUUUCUGCCUAAAUUGCAAUAUCUCAUCAAUCUGCUU